AUGCCCCUUUUUAGUAGACAUGGAUCUUUCAUUUUGAUAUGUCUGCAAUAUGCUGAGCCAUGCAGACUGAGCUCUUUUUACUUUUUACUAUUAUUAUUAUUUCUUAUUUGGUAUGUGCCUUACGUGCUUUCUCCAAUGCCGUAUGUGCUCUCCUGUCGUGUGUGUGUGUGUGUGUGUGUGUGUGUGUGUGUGUGUGUGUGUGUGUGUGUGUGUGUGUGUGUGUGUGUGUGUGUGUGUGUGUGUGUGUGUGUGUUGCUCUCCUUCUGCCUCUCUCACCACCUGCCCCUGCCUGCUACAAUCCACAACCUGCGACGAUGCUCUGUGUGCAUUUCUUUUUCCAUAUCAUUUGCAUACUUACUCAGUUAUUUUGGAUUAAUGAAUUGUGCUAAAGGGCUGCAUGUUAUUCAUUUGAACAUUAGGAGCUUGCCACCUAAAAUUGAUUUACUGAGAGCCUGGCUUACCUAUAAUAAACCCCAUGUAAUAAAUUUGUCUGAAACUUGGUUAAACAGCAAUAUUUCUGAUGAUGAAGUCAAACUUGAUAAUUAUGUUCUAUUUAGGAACGAUAGAGGCUCAAGAGGUGGGGGCCUCUUAACAUAUGUAUCCUCAAAUUUGAUUGCAGAACUUGUUCUUCCAAAUGAGAAUCCCCAGCAUUUUGAAGGCCUUUUCGUCAAAAUCAUUUUUCAUGAAAAUAAACGACUAAUCAUUGGAAAUAUUUAUAAACCUCCAUCUGCCCCAGCAGACACUACUGACUGUAUCCUGUCUACCAUUAAUUCUUUAGACUGCACCAGUGAAAAAAUCAUAUUAGGUGACUUUGAUUCUAAUUGGCUGGAUCGCUCCUCUCAAAAAGAUCGGAACCUCUUUAACAGCAUAAAUCUAACUCAACUCAUAACUGAACCCACUAGAGUCGGUCCCAGUUCUUCUUCUUUGCUUGAUUGGAUUUUAGUUUCCCAUCCUGGCAGAAUUGUACAAUCUGGGGUCUUACCUGACUCUUUUAGUGACCACUCUAUGAUUUUUUGUAUUUGGAAAAUCAAAGUGCCUCAUCUUCCUCCUAAAAUGAUUAAAGUAAGACAAUUUAAUAAAAUUAACCCUGAAAACUUCACUCAGGAUAUACUAAAUAUAAAUUGGGAGAGAUUCAAAUUAAUCCCAUCUGUUGAAGAUGCUUGGAAUUUAUUUUAUACUGAGGAACAAGCAUGCUCCUUUGAAAUCAAUUAUGGUCAAGGGUCGACAUCUACCUUGGAUCAAGGGAGAUCUCAUACACUUAUUCAAGCAAAGAGACAAGGCCUGGAAAAAAUACCGUAA
rnacentral:lncRNA from 1 species